UGGUUGACGAAAUAAUUUUGUAUGCAGGUUAGGUGUGGUCAAGAGAAGUAGUGAUGUGGACAGAGUUAGAGGUGCUGUGGAAAAUAAAAAAAGGUGUGACCACCACUUCCAUAACCAUUUUCAUAAGCUUCUCCGCCGCCACUUCCUCUAUCGCCACCUCCUCCACACCUCUGGUUUAUGGUCUACUUCCAUUUCUGGGUCUUCUUUCUUCACUCAUUCCAUAAACACCAUCACCAUAAAACCACCUCCACCUUUAGCAACACCUCCAUACACAUCUUUACCUUGUGUUAUCACUUUCGUCAGUUCUAUUUCCGUAACCAUGACC
rnacentral:lncRNA from 1 species